GAUGAAGAACGCAGCGAAAUGCGAUAAGUAAUGUGAAUUGCAGAAUUCAGUGAAUCAUCGAAUCUUUGAACGCACCUUGCGCCCUUUGGCCAUUCCGAAGGGCAUGCCUGUUUGAGUAUCAUCAACACCUCAACUCUUCAUGGUUUUCCGUGAUGAGCUUGGACUUUGGGGGUCUUGCUGGCCUAUGGUCAGCUCCUCUAAAAUAAAUCAGCUUGCCAGUGUUUGGUGGGUAUCACAGGUGUGAUAACUAUCUACGCUUGUGGUUUUCCACCAGGUAACCUUCAGCAGUGGAGGUUCGCUGGAGCUCACAGAUGUGUCUCUCCUCAGUGAGGACAGCUCUUUGAAUGUUUGAUCUCAAAUCAGGUAGGACUACCCGCUGAACUUAAGCAUAUCAAUAAGCGGAGGA
rnacentral:misc_RNA from 1 species